UGUGCGAAGAAGGCCUUCGGGUUGUAAAGCACUUUUGACAGGGAAGAAAUCCUUUGGGCUAAUACCCUAGGGGGAUGACGGUACCUGAAGAAUAAGCACCGGCUAACUACGUGCCAGCAGCCGCGGUAAUACGUAGGGUGCAAGCGUUAAUCGGAAUUACUGGGCGUAAAGCGUGCGCAGGCGGUUGUGUAAGACAGGUGUGAAAUCCCCGGGCUUAACCUGGGAAUUGCAUUUGUGACUGCACGACUAGAGUGUGUCAGAGGGGGGUGGAAUUCCACGUGUAGCAGUGAAAUGCGUAGAUAUGUGGAGGAACACCAAUGGCGAAGGCAGCCCCCUGGGAUAACACUGACGCUCAUGCACGAAAGCGUGGGGAGCAAACAGGAUUAGAUACCCUGGUGGUCCACGCCCUAAACGA
rnacentral:rRNA from 1 species